AGAGAAAGAUGCUACUACAAAUGAUGCUACAUAAAUUGUUUUGGACAGAAACUAACCUACUGGGAUAUGCCAGGGGGUGACUUACCUCAUCCA